UGGAAAUUCUGGGUCUUUUUUGUUGCUUCUGGUGCAGGCUAAUAAAAGUUUUCUUUUUAUUUCCACUUUUUACCGGGGCACUUCCUCUCGCAGGGCGGCCGGUUCGGGCCUGGCGCCCCUGGCCAGGGAGCGCAGGGGAAGUGGCGCCGGGCGGGCGUGGGGCGGGGGGAGGGACGGUAGCCCGCCCCUGGGGUCGCCCCAGCUCGGUCGGCGCACCGCCCUGCCUAAAUAGCUGCUCUCCGAUUUGUCUCCUUGGCCCUCUGCGCGUCCCUGGUACCUUGCCUCCCGCAUCCUUCCCUAGGUCUCCAAACGACCACCUCACGGAUUCCUUAUGGAUCGCAGCUCCAAGAGGAGGCAGGUGAAGCCUUUGGCCGCUUCUCUCCUGGAAGCUCUUGAUUAUGAUAGUUCAGAUGACAGUGAUUUUAAAGUUGGAGAUGCUUCAGGACUCGCUGAUUCUUGAGAAGAGUCAAAACUGGAGUUCCCAAAAAAUGGACCACAUUCUGAUUUGCUGUGUUUGUCUUGGAGAUAAUAGUGAAGAUGCAGACGAAAUUAUUCAGUGUGACAAUUGUGGCAUUACAGUUCAUGAAGGUUGUUAUGGAGUAGAUGGGGAAAGUGACUCUAUUAUGAGUUCGGCUUCUGAAAACUCCACUGAGCCUUGGUUUUGUGAUGCCUGUAAAUGUGGUGUGUCU
rnacentral:lncRNA from 1 species